rnacentral:rRNA from 1 species
CCUACGGGAGACAGCAGUGAGGAAUAUUGGUCAAUGGGCGGGAGCCUGAACCAGCCAAGUCGCGUGAGGGAAGACGGUCCUACGGAUUGUACACUUCUUUUAUAAAGGAAUAAAGUGAGGCACGUGUGCCUUUUUGUAUGUACUUUAUGAAUAAGGAUCGACUAACUCCGUGCCAGCAGCCGCGGUAAUACGGAGGAUCCGAGCGUUAUCCGGAUUUAUUGGGUUUAAAGGGAGCGUAGAUUGGUUGUUAAGUCAGUUGUGAAAGUUUGCGGCUCAACCGUAAAAUUGCAAUUGAUACUGGCAGUCUUGAGUACAGUUGAGGUAGGCGGAAUUCGUGGUGUAGCGGUGAAAUGCUUAGAUAUCACGAAGAACUCCGAUUGCGAAGGCAGCUUACUAAACUGCCACUGACAUUGAUGCUCGAAAGUGUGGGUAUCAAACAGGAUUAGAUACCCGAGUAGUC